CCUACGGGUGACAGCAGUGAGGAAUAUUGGUCAAUGGACGAGAGUCUGAACGAGCCAAGUAGCGUGAAGGAUGACUGCCCUAUGGGUUGUAAACUUCUUUUAUAUGGGAAUAAAAUGUUCCACGUGUCGGAUUUUGUAUGUACCAUAUGAAUAAGGAUCGGCUAACUCCGUGCCAGCAGCCGCGGUAAUACGGAGGAUCCGAGCGUUAUCCGGAUUUAUUGGGUUUAAAGGGAGCGUAGGUGGAUUGUUAAGUCAGUUGUGAAAGUUUGCGGCUCAACCGUAAAAUUGCAGUUGAAACUGGCAGUCUUGAGUACAGUAGAGGUGGGCGGAAUUCGAGGUGUAGCGGUGAAAUGCUUAGAUAUCAGGAAGAACUCCGAUUGCGAAGGCAGUUCACUGGACUGCAACUGACACUGAGGCUCGAAAGUGUGGGUAUCAAACAGGAUUAGAUACCCGAGUAGUC
rnacentral:rRNA from 1 species